ensembl:misc_RNA Metazoa_SRP Metazoan signal recognition particle RNA
GCCGGGCAUGGUGGCUCAUGCCUGUAAUCCCAGCUUCUCAGGAGGCUGAGGCAGGAGAAUUGCUUGAACCUGGGAGGCAGAGGUUGCAGUGAGCCGAGAUCAUGCCACUGCACUCUAGCCUGGAUGACAGAGUGAGACUCUGUCUCAA